AUGGAGCAGCAGCCUGUGGCGGCGGCGGCGACGGAGCCGGAGGUACCGGCGGGGCUUGGGCUGACGGCCGCGGAGUACGCGCAGCUGCUGCCCACGGUGGAGGCGUACCACCGGUACGCCGUGGGGCCAGGCCAAUGCUCCUCUCUCGUGGCGCAGCGUAUCGAGGCGCCGCCAGCCGCCGUCUGGGCCAUCGUCCGCCGCUUCGACUGCCCCCAGGUGUACAAGCACUUCAUCCGCAGCUGCGCGCUCCGCCCAGACCCCGAGGCCGGCGACGAGCUCCGCCCGGGCCGCCUCCGCGAGGUCAGCGUCAUCUCCGGCCUCCCCGCCAGCACCAGCACCGAGCGCCUCGACCUCCUCGAUGACGCGCGCAGGGCCUUCGGCUUCACCAUCACCGGCGGCGAGCACCGCCUCCGCAACUACCGGUCCGUCACCACCGUCUCCGAGCUCUCCCCGGCCGCGCCCGCCGAGAUCUGCACCGUCGUCCUCGAGUCCUACGUCGUCGACGUCCCCGACGGCAACAGCGAGGAGGACACGCGCCUCUUCGCGGACACCGUCGUCAGGCUCAACCUCCAGAAGCUCAAGUCCGUCGCCGAGGCCAACGCCGCUGCCGCCGCGGCCACGCCCGCGCCGCCGGCAGAAUAA
rnacentral:rRNA from 1 species